rnacentral:rRNA from 1 species
GACGAACGCUGGCGGCGUGCCUAAUACAUGCAAGUCGAGCGGACCGACGGGAGCUUGCUCCCUUAGGUCAGCGGCGGACGGGUGAGUAACACGUGGGUAACCUGCCUGUAAGACUGGGAUAACUCCGGGAAACCGGGGCUAAUACCGGAUGCUUGAUUGAACCGCAUGGUUCCAAUCAUAAAAGGUGGCUUUUAGCUACCACUUACAGAUGGACCCGCGGCGCAUUAGCUAGUUGGUGAGGUAACGGCUCACCAAGGCGACGAUGCGUAGCCGACCUGAGAGGGUGAUCGGCCACACUGGGACUGAGACACGGCCCAGACUCCUACGGGAGGCAGCAGUAGGGAAUCUUCCGCAAUGGACGAAAGUCUGACGGAGCAACGCCGCGUGAGUGAUGAAGGUUUUCGGAUCGUAAAACUCUGUUGUUAGGGAAGAACAAGUACCGUUCGAAUAGGGCGGCACCUUGACGGUACCUAACCAGAAAGCCACGGCUAACUACGUGCCAGCAGCCGCGGUAAUACGUAGGUGGCAAGCGUUGUCCGGAAUUAUUGGGCGUAAAGCGCGCGCAGGCGGUUUCUUAAGUCUGAUGUGAAAGCCCCCGGCUCAACCGGGGAGGGUCAUUGGAAACUGGGGAACUUGAGUGCAGAAGAGGAGAGUGGAAUUCCACGUGUAGCGGUGAAAUGCGUAGAGAUGUGGAGGAACACCAGUGGCGAAGGCGACUCUCU